AAUGAGGUUCAAUAAGGUCAAGUGCAGGGUGCUGCACUUGGGUCAGGGCAAUCACAGAAAGCUUCCACCUCAGCUGUGCUGUCAAAAUGGGGGAGAAAUACAUGUGAAGCUGGUGGUAGAAAAUCUUUUUGUGAAUUUCUUCAGAAAAUAGAGCAAAAGGAUAAAUGGGCACAGAUUCUGUGUCGUGCAUGGAUACAGGAGCAGAUGAACUGGGAUCUACAUAAGCUAAGGACUCUAUGUUUUGUUUCCUCUUAACUCUUCUACUAUUCGUACUUCCCAACAUAAGCCAUUUUUCCUUGUAAGAAGUGUUUUUUUCUUUACAGAGCUAUUUACCAAUGGCAGCAAACACCUGUUUCCAAGACAGCAAUUUUCAGAUUUCAAAUUUCUUAACAUUUUUUAAAGACGUAGAGUUGUAUACCCCAAAAAUUAGAAUAUCAUCUAAGAGCCAUUUUUUGCAAUUUGUGAAAAUUAAGCAUCAAGAAAAAUAAUGCCCAAAAAAUAACUUCUCUUCAGAAUCUUCAGAAUCGUAGUCAACAGUUAUUGUCUGGAGAGUAUCUUCUGUGUGUAUGUCACUUCAUGUCUGAAAGUUAAAGCUGUAUGUCAGUUGUCUUAUGCUUCAUAAAGUAUGUUUUACCUCUUAAGCAGAAACAAUAUACUGAGUCUUCUCAGCAACGGCAGCAGCUGGUAAGAAAGGCGUAUGUAUGUAAGCAGCUUGUCAAAGUGAAAGACUUAAAAAAAAUAAAAAUAAAAAAUAUUUUUUAAAAAGUGUUUCUAAGUCUAAGCCAGAAUGGAAGGCUGAUGAUGUCUGCAACCUUCUAUUACAGAAAUGGCUUGAAAAAUUUUGUACUACUUGUGCUCUUUCAGCAACAUACCUGAAAAAAAGUUAAGACUGUGGUCUGCUCAUUCAGUAAAGUUCUUUAAACUUGCCAUUUUUCUGUGAUUCAUGCAGUCCAACAGUAAGUGGGAAGUAUGAACAGGAAUGCAGUGUUUCCAUGUUCUGAAAUAAUAUUUUAGAACUGCUUGCAGGAAGAGGUUCCAAAGAUGUUCAGAAAAGCUAGUAAACCAUGAACACAAAUUUAUUAUCAUAAAGUGUGGUGGUGUAGUUUGUGGUGUUAUUCUUAAUCCAUGUACCAGAGUCAUCAUGUCAAGACUGCUAUUUCUUGCAACUGAUAAGAAGUAUCCUUGGCAUCCUUGUCUUCCUUCACCCUACACUGUCUGCCAGUGAAGCUCAAAGAGGGCAUUUCAUAAUACAUGGGAUUCCUGCAAAACAGAAAUAAAAUGGACAGUCUAUCCAGUAACCACUGCAUAAGAGCAUGAGGGAGUACUGUGGUUUCUUUAGAAUAAAGCUUUUCUAGUUUUCUUUGUAGCCUGAAUAUGACCACAGAAUCUAGGUCCUCUGUCACUGUAUGACUAUUUUAUGAGGUGGGAAAAAGAUGGAACCUCUGAAGAAAUGUCACUUCUUACCAGAAUCUGUUUUGACCUUGGGAUGAGGUUUUUAGUCAGUCUUCUAAUGCAACCAGGCACCUUCAAAACUAUAAAGUGUGCAGUAGAAAUUUGAUCCAACAGAAAUCCACAUGCAUAUGUCUAUGUUGUAAUUAAGACACAUCAUAAUAACAAAAUUCAACUUAAGAGAAUGUCACAGAAUUUUUUUCACAGAUAUUUUUGUCAUUAUAUGAAAUAGAUUUUGCUAGACAUUUAAAAAAUGGGUUUUAUGACUCUUAAUACAUAAAGCCAAUGGCAUUUCUUAACAUAAAUGGCAUUUUAAAAAAAUAAUUGUACAGUCAUACUUCCCAAUAGUUCCCUGUGUUCUGGUUUUUUAAAAUUGAAUGUGAAAUGCUCUAACUGUUAUUUUUUUAGAGGUGCUGAGAGCCUGCUGCCUCUGCUAAGCUCAUUUACUACUGCACGUAGUCAUGAAAGUUGUCUUACAUUAGAUACAUAUGAGCAAGACUAAUGAACAUCUAAAACUUUUGGUAAGGUCUGAGUGCCAGAAAUGUUACAUCAAAUAUUGUGAACAUCUGAAAUAAAUAACUAAGAUGUAUGGAGCAUUACAGAGAAAUGUAGUACUAAAAAAUAUAAGUAUAUUUGGCAUCUGUAUUUCUUUCUCUGCCUUUUAAACUGAACACAGUUGUGCUUUAAUAAAAUCUUGCUUACU
ensembl:lncRNA